GAAAAGUGGAAAGACUUAAUUAAAAACACAAUUGUUCAGAGAACAAUUGUAGGUCUUUCCACUAGUAAAGAUCUAUUUUGAUAUUGAAAUAUGAAAAAUCAGUUUAAAAUGUUAGUUCCUAUGGCUUUAUGAUGUAUUUAUAUGAAUUUAAAGCAAAGGUCAAAAUCUAGAACGUCAUAUUAACCUAUGACCUUGACCUCAAUUUCAAGUUCACAAACCAAGGACCUUAAAUCAAAAGACCCUAGGUCUUUAAUAUGUUUGGUUUAUGAGUAAUAUCACUUUACGCGUAAUUCUAAAUGUAAGAUGGGCAAAAACUCCCAUUUAUUGUCUGCGCACCCUUUCAACCAAAAUAUACAAGUAAGGACAUGUCGCAACUAACAAUUUAUGAAAAAUUAUUUGUCGAUAUGUCAUAAGGUAUUUGAAAAUAAAUGAAAAUAAGCCAAAAUCAAAAUUUAGAAUAUGACCUUGACCUUUGACCUUGACCUCAUUUUUAUUUUUUUGGACCAAGGACCUCAAAUCUAAAGACCCUAUGUCUUUAUCACUUAUGGUUUACCAUUUAGAAAUGCAUAUCACUUAAUUAAAUGGAAAAGGGGAAUAACUCUCAUAUGGAGUCUCCGUAAAGCUUCGGUCCAAAUGAAUAUCCUAAUCCUGAAGAUGUAACGAGCAAUUUGGUAAAAUAAAUUUGUCGUAAUCUUUAACGGUUGCGAAGGAGUAGUGGCCACAAGAAAAACAGUGUUUGGGGAGAUAACUCUUACAACGUAAAGUAUUUUGUUACGCAGUUGUAAAUUUUUAAAGCGUAUAAACUAUACGAUAUCAUAUUCCAAAUAUCUAAGCGACAUCUUUUGAAACAUCAAUACUACGCAAGAAAAAAAUUAGGCGGA
rnacentral:lncRNA from 1 species